GCCGCGGUGGUCUAGUGGCUAAGGUACUCGGCUACUGACCCAGAGGACGCGGGUUCGAAUCCCGGCUGCGGCG
rnacentral:tRNA from 1 species